UACGUAGGUGGCAAGCGUUAUCCGGAUUUAUUGGGCGUAAAGGGAACGCAGGCGGUCUUUUAAGUCUGAUGUGAAAAUCCGGGGCCCAACCCCGGAAGUGCAUUGGAAACUGUAUUUCUAGAGUGUCGGAGAGGCAAGUGGAAUUCCUGGUGUAGCGGUGAAAUGCGUAGAUAUCAGGAGGAACACCAGUGGCGAAGGCGGCUUGCUGGACGAUGACUGACGUUGAGGCUCGAAAGCGUGGGGAGCAAACAGG
rnacentral:rRNA from 1 species